rnacentral:rRNA from 1 species
UACGAAGGGUCCAAGCGUUAUCCGGAUUUAUUGGGUUUAAAGGGUGCGUAGGCGGCUUAUUAAGUCAGUGGUGAAAGCCUUCAGCUUAACUGAAGAACUGCCAUUGAUACUGAUGAGCUUGAGUAUAGUUGAGGUUGGCGGAAUGUGUCAUGUAGCGGUGAAAUGCUUAGAUAUGACACAGAACACCGAUUGCGAAGGCAGCUAGCUAAGCUAUAACUGACGCUGAUGCACGAAAGCGUGGGGAGCAAACAGGAUUAGAAACCCCCGUAGUCC